GAAGCUACACAACUAAAUUCAGUCUCCUCUUGCCCAGAGAAAGAUCAAAUGUUCUGCAACAAGAGGCUAGGUUUUGCUUUCCUCUUAUGAGUGUGGUGUGAUGAAGUAGUCAGUGCUAACCUGCUGUUUACAGCAAAUGGGACCUAGAUCCUAUGAUUCAGUUCUCUGGCUCGUGGUGGGCGUCUAGCAUGCAUAACCCUUUUCUGUGGAGCUGCCAAAGAGGGAACUCACAGGAGCUGAAAUCAAGCCUUAGGAGCAGCAGUGUUUAGUGCAGCCACUGGUAGAACAGUGUGCUGUGCCACCAAGAGUUUGUUGAUAUCCUAUUCUGUUUUGUUGCCUCCUUGAAAAGGAAGUACUUAAUCUCAAAACAUACAUCUGCACUUCAAAUAUGGGAAGAAGCAUACAUACUUCAGGAUCUCAGGGGAGAACAAAUCUACAAACUCUCUAAAUGAAAACUGAUCAAAAUGCCAAUAUG